UGGGGAAUCAUGGUCAAUGGGCGAAAGCCUGAACCUGCGACGCCGCGUGAGUGAUGAAGGUCGUAAGAUCGUAAAACUCUUUUCAGGGAUCUUAAAGCCUGUCUGUCAACAACAGGCAGAUCUGACUAUCCCUGGAAGAAGCCCCAGCCAACUACGUGCCAGCAGCUGCGGUAAUACGUAGGGGGCGAGCGUUAUUCGGAAUUACUGGGUGUAAAGGGUAUGUAGGCGGCCCUUCAGGUCGCGUAUCAAAGUCCAGUGCUCAACGCUGGGU
rnacentral:rRNA from 1 species